rnacentral:rRNA from 1 species
UACGGAGGAUCCAAGCGUUACUCGGAAUUACUGGGCGUAAAGCGUGCGUAGGUGGUUUUUUAAGUCCGUUGUGAAAGCCCAGGGCUCAACUCUGGGUCGGCCACGGAUACUCCGGGGCUGGAGCACACUAGAGGCGGAUGGAAUUCCGGGUGUAGCGGUGGAAUGCGUAGAGAUCCGGAAGAACACCGGUGGCGAAGGCGGUCCGCUGGGGUGUUGCUGACGCUGAGGCGCGACAGCGUGGGGAGCAAACAGG